GGGAGUGUAGCUCAGUGGUAGAGCAUGUGCUAAGCAUCUAGGAGGCCUUGGAUUCAAUUCCAAGCACUCCCA
rnacentral:tRNA from 1 species